CUUCAAAGCGUUAGGUUGUGACGAUCUGAUUCGCUUAGUCUUUGAGUUUGGGAAGAGCAUGUCUGUCAUCCAUCUCUCUGAGGAGGAGAUCGCUCUCUUCUCAGCGUACGUCCUGAUGUCUGCGGAUCGGACGUGGCUUCAGGAGAAGGUGAAGGUAGAGAAGCUGCAACAGAAGAUCCAGCUGGCUCUCCAACAUGUCCUUCAGCAGAGCGGCAGAGAGGA